CUACGGGGCGCAGCAGUGGGGAAUAUUGCACAAUGGGCGCAAGCCUGAUGCAGCAACGCCGCGUGAACGAAGAAGGUUUUCGGAUCGUAAAGUUCUUUUCUUGGGGAAGAAACCAUGACGGUACCCAAGGAAUAAGCACCGGCUAACUACGUGCCAGCAGCCGCGGUAAUACAGUAGGGUGCAAGCGUUAUCCGGAAUCUCUGGGCGUAAAGGGUGCGUAGGCGGUUUUACAAGUCAGAAGUGAAAGGCAAUGGCUCAACCAUUGUAAGCUUUUGAAACUGUAAGACUUGAAUGCAGGAGAGGUAAGUGGAAUUCCUAGUGUAGCGGUGAAAUGCGUAGAUAUUAGGAGGAACACCAGUGGCGAAGGCGACUUACUGGACUGUUAUUGACGCUGAGGCACGAAAGCGUGGGGAGCGAACAGGAUUAGAUACCCCAGUAGUC
rnacentral:rRNA from 1 species